GAGUUUGAUCUUGGCUCAGAUUGAACGCUGGCGGCAGGCCUAACACAUGCAAGUCGAGCGGAUGACGGGAGCUUGCUCCUUGAUUCAGCGGCGGACGGGUGAGUAAUGCCUAGGAAUCUGCCUGGUAGUGGGGGACAACGUUUCGAAAGGAACGCUAAUACCGCAUACGUCCUACGGGAGAAAGCAGGGGACCUUCGGGCCUUGCGCUAUCAGAUGAGCCUAGGUCGGAUUAGCUAGUUGGUGGGGUAAUGGCUCACCAAGGCGACGAUCCGUAACUGGUCUGAGAGGAUGAUCAGUCACACUGGAACUGAGACACGGUCCAGACUCCUACGGGAGGCAGCAGUGGGGAAUAUUGGACAAUGGGCGAAAGCCUGAUCCAGCCAUGCCGCGUGUGUGAAGAAGGUCUUCGGAUCGUAAAGCACUUUAAGUUGGGAGGAAGGGCAGUAAGUUAAUAACCUUGCUGUUUUGACGUUACCGACAGAAUAAGCACCGGCUAACUCUGUGCCAGCAG
rnacentral:rRNA from 1 species